AGAGUUUGAUCCUGGCUCAGGAUGAACGCUAGCGGCAGGCUUAAUACAUGCAAGUCGAACGGCAGCACAGUGUAGCAAUACAUGGGUGGCGAGUGGCGCACGGGUGCGUAACACGUAUGCAAUUUGCCCAUAACUGGGGGAUAGCCCUCCGAAAGGAGGAUUAAUACCCCAUAACCCAGCGAGGUGGCAUCACUUUUCUGGUAAAUCUCCGGAGGUUAUGGAUGAGCAUGCGUCCGAUUAGCUAGUUGGUGAGGUAACGGCUCACCAAGGCAACGAUCGGUAGGGGGUCUGAGAGGAUGAUCCCCCACACGGGUACUGAGACACGGACCCGACUCCUACGGGAGGCAGCAGUAAGGAAUAUUGGACAAUGGAGGCAACUCUGAUCCAGCCAUGCCGCGUGAAGGAUGAAGGCCCUACGGGUUGUAAACUUCUUUUCUCUUAGAAAAAACUACUGGUUUCGUACCGGUACUGGAUUGUACAAGAGGAAUAAGCAUCGGCUAACUAUCGUGGCAGCAGCCGCGGUA
rnacentral:rRNA from 1 species